GUGUCUGUUCACUGCCUCGCAAACUAAACUCACGGCUCUGUCUAUUCACUGUGUUGCAAACUAACUAAGCACUGCGUCUGUGGGCUGCCUCGCAAACAAGCAAACCUCUGUGUUGGUUCGCUGCCUUGCAAACUAACUCACUGCCGCAUCUCUUUGCUGCCUCACAAACAAACAAAUCACUGUGUCUCAUCGCUAACUCGCAAAUAAGCAAAUGCCGUGCCUGUUCCCUGCCUCGCAGACAAGCAAACCACUGCAUCUGUUCGCUGCGUCGCAAACUAACAAACCGCUCCAUACGUUCGCUGCCUCGCAAACUAAGUAAAUGCUGGGUCUCUUUGCUGACUUCCAAAAAUAACAAACCACUGAGUCUGUUCGCCGCCUCGCAAACUACCUAACCACUGCGUCUCUUCGCUGCUUGACAGACUAAUGAACUGCUGCGUCCUUUCACUGCCUCGCAAAGGAGCAAACCGCUGCAUUUCUUCGCUGCUUCGCAAACUAAACCGCUGCGUCUGUUCAUUGCCUCGCAGACAAGCAAACCUCUCCGUCUCUUCGCUGCCUCGCCAACUAACUGCUGCGUCUCUACACUGCCUCGCACACUAACUAACAGCUGCAUCCUUUCACUACCUCGCAAAAGAACAAACCGCUGCGUCUCUUCGCUGCCUUGCACACUAACCUCUGCAUCCUUUCACUGCCUCGCAAACGAGCAAACCGCUGCCUUUCUUUGCUGCUUCGGAAACUAAACUGCUGCGUCUGCCUUCGCCGCCUCACUGCCAAGCAAAGCGCCGUGUUCCUUCGGCGCCUGGCAAAGCACUGCGUCCAUUCUCCCCCUCGCAGCCUAGCAAAGCUCCGCGUGCCUUUGCCGCCUCGUCGCCUAAGAAAGCGCUGCGUCCCUUUUCGCCCUCGCCGCCAAACAAAGCGCCGCGUGCCUUCGCCGCCUCCCCAAUCGCUUCGUCCCUUCGCAACCUCGCCACCUACCAAAGCGCUUCAUCCCUUCAACCCCUCGCCGCCUAGCAAAGCGCUGCGUGCCUUCGCCGCCUGGCAAAGCGCUGUGUGCCUUUGCCACCUGGCAAAGCGCUGCAUGCCUUCGCUGCCUCACACCCCGCUGCAUACCUUCGCCGCCUCGCUG
rnacentral:lncRNA from 1 species